rnacentral:rRNA from 1 species
GAUGAACGCUGGCGGCGUGCCUAAUACAUGCAAGUCGAGCGAACGGACGAGAAGCUUGCUUUUCUGAUGUUAGCGGCGGACGGGUGAGUAACACGUGGAUAACCUACCUAUAAGACUGGGAUAACUUCGGGAAACCGGAGCUAAUACCGGAUAAUAUUUUGAACCGCAUGAUUCAAAAGUGAAAGACGGUCUUGCUGUCACUUAUAGAUGGAUCCGCGCUGCAUUAGCUAGUUGGUAAGGUAACGGCUUACCAAGGCAACGAUGCAUAGCCGACCUGAGAGGGUGAUCAGCCACACUGGAACUGACACACGGUCCAGACUCCUACGGGAGGCAGCAGUAGGGAAUCUUCCGCAAUGGGCGAAAGCCUGACGGAGCAACGCCGCGUGAGUGAUGAAGGUCUUCGGAUCGUAAAACUCUGUUAUUAGGAAAGAACAUAUGUGUAAGUAACUGUGCACAUCUUGACGGUACCUAAUCAGAAAGCCACGGCUAACUACGUG